GGGGGUUUAGCUCAGUGGUGAGAGCAGCCGUCGGAAGGUCGUUGGUUCGAUUCCAUCAACCUCAA
rnacentral:tRNA from 1 species